rnacentral:lncRNA from 1 species
GCGGCUCUAAUAAAUAAAAUAAUACCAUUUCGAAUAAUGUCACUUUAAUUGGAAAAACUCUCAUAUUCCUUCGGGUGUGGGAAAAUGAGGUGUGACAGCGAUGGCGACUCUGCUGGGGACAAUAACCCAGAACUUCUAGUUCAGGGUUUAGAAUUCGAGCUUCAAAUGUGAUCUAUACUUGGCUUUAUUAAUUUGAUGUUAUUAUGUAUUUUUG